GUGAGGAGAAGGAAGAGGCUGAAGGCUGGGCUUCUGGUGCCUCUGGGCUCCAGCCACACACACACACCCCAGUGCCACCCAGGCCGAGCAGUGCCAACAGCUCACUGUCUCCUCAG
rnacentral:miRNA from 1 species